AAAUAAUCAGAUGAAAACUUCUGAAGUGCUGCACUCUGAUAAAAGAUAUUGCUUUGCACUCAACCUGAAGAUUAACUUACAACUUGCUGGGCCAUCCAGGAUAUCUGUUACAGUUAGGAAGAGUGAUUAGCAAAUUCUGAUGCUGGAGAUAAUCCGGAGUCUAUAAAACUUUGCUGGAUAUAGCACUGUUUGCAGAGUCUCCUUCCAAGACUGAAGAGUGAGCACAUUCUUGUCCGGUCUUCAGAGCUGCAGUUUGGAAAAAAACACAACUUGCCAAUGUUUCCUGCCGUGUGGUCUUCUGACAGCAUAGAUGUCUGCAACAGUAGGCAACAUAUACACUUUUUAGUUUAGAAAUAGAUUGCAGUUUUGAAACAUAGUGGGAAAUGUGAAUAGAAUAGUGUAUUGUCUAUCCUCGUCAUUUGUUCUGUUUGAAUGAAUAUUUUCUAUAUAAUAUUGCCAAGAAGCACUGUUUAACUCAGAGGACACUCAACACUUAAAUCACCUGUGAAACCUGUUGGCUUAUUAG
ensembl:lncRNA